rnacentral:rRNA from 1 species
UACGUAGGUGGCAAGCGUUGUCCGGAUUUAUUGGGCGUAAAGCGAGCGCAGGCGGUUUCUUAAGUCUGAUGUGAAAGCCCCCGGCUCAACCGGGGAGGGUCAUUGGAAACUGGGAGACUUGAGUGCAGAAGAGGAGAGUGGAAUUCCAUGUGUAGCGGUGAAAUGCGUAGAUAAUAUGGAGGAACACCAGUGGCGAAGGCGGCUCUCUGGUCUGUAACUGACGCUGAGGCUCGAAAGCGUGGGGAGCGAACAGG